GACGAACGCUGGCGGCGUGCUUAACACAUGCAAGUCGAACGGAAAGGCCCUGCUUUUGUGGGGUGCUCGAGUGGAGAACGGGUGAGUAACACGUGAGUAACCUGCCAUUGACUUUGGGAUAACUUAAGGCAACUGGGGCUAAUACCGGAUAGGAGCUCCUGCUGAAUGGUGGGGGUUGGAAAGUUUCGGCGGUUGGGGAUGGACUCGCGGCUUAUCAGCUUGUUGGUGGGGUAGUGUCUUACCAAGGCUUUGACGGGUGGCCGGCCUGGGAGGGUGACCGGCCACACUGGGACGGAGAUACGGCCCAGACUCCUACGGGAGGCAACAGUGGGGUAUAGUGCAUAAUGGGCUGAACCCUGAUGCAGCAACGCCGCGUGCGGGAUGACGGCCUUCGGUUUGUAAACCGCAUUCGCCUGUGACGAAGCGUGAGUGACGGUAAUGGGUAAAGAAGCACCGGCUAACUACGUG
rnacentral:rRNA from 1 species